UGUUCAGGUUAUGUGGUGAGUGCCAAAACAACCCCGCAUCUAAAUUAGCCUCACUUUUACUAGCCCACCAUGACUUUUUGAUGAGUUGGCAGGUUGAGAUUACCGGCUCUAAAUUGUCAAGAAAGCCCUAAAAAGCUAUAUGCCAAGCAAAGUUGUGUAAGCUUCUGAAAGAGUUGCAGAAGCUUUUGAAAGAGGACAACAAGGCUUUCAUCAACCUCCUCCCAUAGCGACCAUCCAAGCCUUAAAAAUGUUCGAUCCUUCGACAGUUAAUUCCCUUCCUCUCAUCAACCUCCCAAGAUCUCGAUGGUCCUAACUAUUUCGUCACCAUCCGCAAGAUCGAUGAUGCAUGCUGCUUCUUUCAGGACUUGUGACUCAGGAUGUUAUUUCUGAAUGGAGAAACCAUUUUCUGGGUUCAGCUGUAUUCAUGUUCUUCUCAUGUUCAAGAUUUGAGAAAUGGUGAGGUUCAAGUGUAGUCCCUUAUGACUCUAGUGAUCGAGAGGCCUUGUAUAGACAACCUUUAUAGGAUUUAUAUCACAUAGUACGUAUUUCUACAAUUA